rnacentral:misc_RNA from 1 species
CCUUUCCUUUAGAGAUAAACAUCCCAGAACUGGUUCGAACUUGGCUGAGCUUACUCUUUCCACUAACAUUAUCCGCCACUGCUGAUCUCUUCAGCUCUGAUUUCGCCAGAGAGAUCAGGUGAUCGCAUUCCAAGUCCGUAAGAAAACCUUCGUACACAAAUGCCCUUGGCUUCCAUGAAACCUGUUUGACUUUAGCAGGGUCAAUAAUGGAACUAGAAGAACCUGGAUAAGAGCUAGAUGUAUGGAGAAUCAAAGAGCUCGAUAGCCAAAAGAGGAGUAGGAGGGGAUUGAUGAUAGCGGCCAUGGGAGCAGGCUAAAGCGGUAUGAUUUCCAGAAACUUUCAGACUUCUUCCAGGAAAAUCCAAUAAUGUUG